rnacentral:rRNA from 1 species
GGAAGUAGAGAAGGGCGCACGGGGGAUGCCUUGGCUCUGGCUGGCGACGAAGGGCGCGACAAGCAGCGAUAUUCCGCGGGGAGCCGCACACAGGCCUCGAUCCGCGGGUUCCCGAAUGGGGCAACCCGGCGCCUUGAAGAGGCGCCACCCGAGAGGGGGCCGACCCGGCGAACUGAAACAUCUAAGUAACCGGAGGAAGAGAAAACAAUAGUGAUCCCGCAAGUAGUGGCGAGCGAACGCGGGCCAGCCCAAACCGGGCCCGUCAAGGCGGGCCCGGGGUUGUAGGGCCGCAUUUAGCACCGGGGGACGAAGCGGAACGGCAUGGGAAGGCCGGCCACAGAGGGUGAGAGCCCCUUACGCGCAAGGAGCCCGGGCGAGCGGUACCCUGAGUAGGUCGGGGCCGGAGGAACCCCGUCCGAAGCUAGCGGCACCAUCCGCUAAGGCUAAACACAUGCCAGAGACCGAUAGAGUACCAGUACCGUGAGGGAAAGGUGAAAAGUACCCUGAGCAAGGGGGUGAAAUAGAACCUGAAACCGUGCGCCUACAAGCGGUCGGAGCCACUCAGUGUGGUGACGGCGUGCCUUUUGCAUAAUGAGCCUACGAGUUGCCGUCCCUGGCGAGGUUAAGGGGUUCAGCCCCGGAGCCGGAGCGAAGGCGAGUCCGAACAGGGCGUGUAGUCAGCGGCGGCAGACGCGAAACUUUGUGAUCUACCCUUGGGCAGGUUGAAGUGCGGGUAAAACCGCAUGGAGGACCGAACCGGUAAACGUUGAAAAGUUUUCGGAUGACCCGAGGGUAGGGGUGAAAGGCCAAUCAAACUGAGAGAUAGCUCGUACUCCCCGAAAUGCCUUUAGGGGCAGCCCCGCGCAGUGUCAUUGGGAGGUAGAGCUACCGAUAGGACUAGGGGGAGUCAAAUCCUACCAAAUCCUGACGAACUCCGAAUGCCCAUUGACAGCAGCGGGAGUGAGGGCCGGGGUGCUAAGGUCACGGUCCGAGAGGGGAAGAACCCAGACCGACAGCUAAGGCCCCAAAGCGCGCGCUGAGUUCAACUAAGGUGGUCCAGCUGCAGUGACAGCCAGGAUGUUUGCUCGGAAGCAGCAAUUCAUUCAAAGAGUGCGUAACAGCUCACUGGUCGAGCGGCAGGGCAUCGAUAAUAAGCGGGGAUAAGCGCGCCGCCGAAGCUUCGGGCCAGCGAUGGCGGUAGGGGAGCAUUCCGGCCGCGGCGAAGGGUUCGCGCGAGCGGUCCUGGAGCGGCCGGAAAAGCAAAUGUAGGCAUAAGUAACGACAAUGGGGGCGCGAAACCCCCACACCGAUAGACCAAGGUUUCCCAGUCAACGCUAAUCGGGCUGGGGUCAGUCGGGUCCUAAGGGGAAGGCGAGGGCCGAUCCCGAUGGCAGGCCGGUCAACAUUCCGGCACCGCCGUCACGGGCGAUGGGGCGACGGGGCAGUGGAAGGCGUGCGCGCAGACGGAAUUGCGCGUUGAAGGGCGUAGGUAUAGGCCCGGCAGGGAAAUCCGCCGGGGCUGCCGAGACCCGACAGUACCCAGAGCCCACGGGCGACGGGACAACCGCCCUAAAUGCCCCCUAGAAAACCCUCUAAGCUUAACCGUGGCGGCGCCCGUACCGCAAACCGACACAGGUGGUCAAGGAGAGGAUCCUGAGGUGCUCGAGUGAAUCACGGCCAAGGAACUCGGCAAACUGGCCCUGUAACUUCGGGAGAAGGGGCCCCCCGUCUAGGCGGGGGCGCAGAGAAAUGGCCCAGGCGACUGUUUAACAAAAACACAUGGCUACGCGAAACCGCAAGGUGAAGUAUGUGGCCUGACACCUGCCCGGUGCCGGAAGGUUAAGGGGGGGCGUCAUCGCGAGAGAAGCGCUGAACUGAAGCCCCGGUAAACGGCGGCCGUAACUAUAACGGUCCUAAGGUAGCGAAAUUCCUUGUCGGGUAAGUUCCGACCUGCACGAAUGGUGUAACGAUCUGGGCGCUGUCU